rnacentral:rRNA from 1 species
UACGUAGGGUGCAAGCGUUGUCCGGAAUUAUUGGGCGUAAAGGGCUCGUAGGCGGUUUGUCGCGUCGGGAGUGAAAUCAUCUGGCUUAACUGGGUGCUUGCUUUCGAUACGGGCAGACUAGAGGUAUGCAGGGGAGAACGGAAUUCCUGGUGUAGCGGUGAAAUGCGCAGAGAUCAGCAGGAACACCCGUGGCGAAGGCGGCUUCCUGGGCCGCGCCUGACGCUGAGACGCGAAAGCGUGGGGAGCGAACGGG